UACGAAGGGGGCUAGCGUUGCUCGGAAUCACUGGGCGUAAAGCGCACGUAGGCGGCUUCUUAAGUCAGGGGGGAAAUCCUGGAGCUCAACUCCAGAACUGCCUUUGAUACUGAGGAGCUUGAGUCCGGGAGAGGUGAGUGGAACUGCGAGUGUAGAGGUGAAAUUCGUAGAUAUUCGCAAGAACACCAGUGGCGAAGGCGGCUCACUGGCCCGGUACUGACGCUGAGGUGCGAAAGCGUGGGGAGCAAACAGG
rnacentral:rRNA from 1 species